rnacentral:lncRNA from 1 species
GAGCCAGGAGGGAGGCUUCCAGAAGACAACAAAAGUCCAUGAAGAAGGGGGCACUUCUCAGCAACUCUCUGGAAACCGUCCGUAAGAACUGAACAAAAUUAUACUUCUUCAGCAUAAUUAAAAAGUACCAGCAGUUAAAUUCCUCUUCAGGAAGGCGAAUGCAGGUCUGUCUCCCGCGUGCACACACAUGUAUGCACGUGUAUGUGUGCACACAAACACACAGACGUGCACAUAGAUAAGCAAUCCCACAGUGUGUGGGGGGAAGAUGAAUACUUAUAGCUGAUGAGCCAGCAAGUAGAGCCCUCGGGGAACUGCAGGCUUAGGAGCACAUCUCUGCCCACAGCCCUAACACUGGACAAACCCACCAACGUGCGCAGGAUUUCUGAGCCAUCUCACAGCACCUUCGUUCUUAAAACAGUGUUAGCACAAAGGAAAAGUGCUACUCAAGAACUUGGGAAAGGAAGAAAAAGGAGGAGGGAGACAUGGAGCCAGGUAAGGGUCAUAAUAAUGAAAAUGCUGUACAUUGAUUUUCAACUAUUAAAUUUGAUUUAUGGGCAAAAUUCAAUAACCAUAAGUUUACUGAGUUAAAUGUGAAAUUCACCACCCUCACAAAUGCAUAAGUACAUAAAUAGAUGGCAGGUACUGAGUUGAAGGGAAAUUUAGGGACAAUGAAAUCCUCCUUUUGUAUUGUUGCCAAUCACGAUAUUUCUCUUUAGUUGGUUGAAAUAAGUAAAUAUAAUAUAAGUACAUAGUUUUUUUAAAUUUAUUUUUAUUUUUUACAAGUAUAUAGUUUUAAAAUAUAGUGGAAAGCAAAAGUGCUAAUGCAAAUAGUUUUCAUAUGCCAUAAUAGGAAUGUGAUAGCUAAUAUUCAUAGUUUAAAAAAUCAGAGACAGUAGAAUUAGCAAAUUAUGUAAAAAUAAGAAACAACCAGAAAUCUAAAGCCAG